GAAUAACCCCAACAACCUUCGCAUAAUUGGAUCCAACUUCUUCCCAAAGGUAAUGGAGGAUUUCUGAAAGUUUAUCUCCUGGCCAGAUAAUAUAUAAUCGUUACUAACCUUUCCCAUUGUUGUGAUGUAUUUUUUUUAAUUUUUUUUUUGGACAACAUGUUGUGAUGUAUAAGAAAUGCCCUUUGUACUGUUUUUGUGAAACUUAUAUGUACUGUUCUGGGACCUCACAAGAAUAUAUUUCACAAGUCAUACUUUUAAACUAUUUAAAAGAAAGUGACUAAGUAUA
rnacentral:lncRNA from 1 species